AUUAAAAUUUGUAAUAUGUUACUUUACAACAAUUCAAAGAGUAUAGAGGAUCUGGAAAUGUAACACAUUGUUAUUGGCAACUGCAAAUUCCUAUACCAUAGCAGCUCCUGCUGAAACUAAUUCUUGUAUAAAAAGUCAAGCCUCUUCUUUUAAAACAUGUUAUACUGUACUGGGCUAGAUUACGUAUGCAAAAGUGAACGUUGCAAUAGUUCGUGAGCUAUGUAUGCCUUUCUCGGAAUUCGUUUUAAAUCGUACAGUCGAUUAACAGCGGGUAAAUGUUGCAAACUUAUUUAAACUCGACUAUGGCAUUUAGUCUUUUUCUAUAGAAGGGAACAAAGCUAGAAAUGCUGUUGGUUGGUUACCGCGUGAUUGCUUAUCAGCGUGAACCGCGGGAGGCUUAUGUAAUCCAGUUUGGGUUAAAGAAAACGGGCAACAGUGGGAACUGUUUACCGAGUGAUGUAAUUGCUAUGAUCCUACAAAUCUCGACUUCUAGUCGAGUUGUCAUCUGCUGGCAAUGCUGGGCACCCCAGAGCGACUAGAAUGACGGUUUGGUCGAAAGUCGAAUUUUAAUUAAACUCGUUGAGCGAUGGACAGGGCGUUGUAUAAACCAGUGUCGAAAACUCGACGAUCGUCCGCAGAGCUUCAAUAAACUCUCGCAUACCAUUCUCGUAGCUCUAUCAAAUUUGUGGUUGCUGCGUUGUAGUUAUAGCGUAUGCUUCACAAACUCAGCGUGAAGAAUGUUAGACAACAACAAGUGUUUGUUGGAACAUCUGAGUAAACGCACACUUUCUCCUAAAUAUCGAAAGGGUAAUCAGCGUUAGAAUGUACCGUAACCACCGCACUCGACCGUGCAUUAUGUUGCACAAAUAGGCGUUGCCAUCUGCCGACCUCAACUAUAAACUUACCUGCGUUGAUAUAUAACAUAUGGAACAUUAAUACACCUUAGCGCAGUAAACAGUUUCGAAUUUGAGUUUCUAGGUAUACCAAAGCACUAAACAGCAGCUUGGUAACAUUUCGGCAUGAAAGUCUGACGUAGACAGCUUAAUUGAAAUGGUUAACUAUACACGAACUGUUUCAGCUCAUCUCGUACUUUACGUCACACCAUAUGGUUACAGCCAUUAAAACGUAUUUCGUGUCAUCCACCAUUCUUUAGCUGCAUAGCUGUCGCGAAAGCUUUGUCGUUUACACCGAAACGAUACUGCAACAUACGAACAAGAAAUACCUAAUACCUUUGCGUGUGCCACGAGUAAACAAAUCGUAGACUUUCUCCAUUAUUAGUAGGUCAUACAAUAAACUGUGCAUCACCAUAGAUAUAACUACCUGUCCUGUACAACUUCUUAAACUAAGAAUGCUGUUUCCUUUAAAGGUCUUAAAACGGGGUUUAUAACGUAUUUGGUGAACAAUAGCAAACAUCUCAAAUAAAUAUACUUACUGUCUGGCUCAUAAAUCAAUUGAGCUUCUAUCGACUCUUUAGUGCUUACUAUGUCUGAUAUCUACCUUUGCCAAUGUCCACGAAUGUGUUCGCAUUCACUGCCUUACGGGCGUUUACGUACGGGUCGCUAUACGAAGCAUUCUGGACUGUAAUUGAAUACCUGUCGAGCACUGGUUUGUUUUCGUUUGGAAUCUGAAACAUGAGACGCGCAUCGCGUCGUACAAUUUUUUCUGAGCUACCAGAAUCUAGUAACAAAUGAGACAAGUCUAUGAUUUACAUCACAUAACGGUUAAAGUGCGUACACUCCCUCUGCCAAGCGUAACGUUUUUCUAAACAGCUGUUGGUGCGUGUUUCUAAUAAUUAGCGCCGAAGCACGCUGUAAUAUGAGAGGGAAAACACGUCGUGUUAUUUCGAGCAGUUUUCUGUAAUUUUGCAUGUAGAAAGCAAGAAAUGGCAUAAUCUUCGCUUGGCCAAAGCGUAUUUAGAACUUCCUGUAACACUUGUUUCAAUAUUGAUUUAACGAGUGACAAUAAAGCUUCUGAAUCACGCUAGUACAGUGUAGGGUGAUUAUAAUUUAGUGUUACUGAAGUUUCUAUACUUCUCCUGAAACCCACAAACCAUUAACAUGAUUUGGAUUUACAUUAUCAUUAAGCAGAGGGGUAAAACAACGAAUUGAAGUUCAGUGUACUCACUUUUGACGUCAUGAGUGAAUUACAGCUACACUGUCUAGCAACUGAGAAAGAACUAACUUACGUAAUAAAACAAAAUUAACUGAAACUGGUAAGUGAGCACCAGCAUGAACGUAAUCCCUCCAUAUAUCUGCCCUCCAAGGUUUCAAGUCAAUUUAGACCUACAUACAUUUUAAUGCGACCAUCCAUACUAUUUAAUUGCCCUUUCCGCACUGCUGGCAGUGACCAAGAAGCGUGGUCUGUCGUAGCUGUUUCUAAUAUAAUAUAAAGCUCCCAAAAUACCCUAAAAUAAUCUGCCGUCCAAAGGUGACUCAAAGACAGGUAGCAUUACAUCAUGUUCGUUUCUCUUUUCUCUUAGUUUGCUCUGAAUCACUGUGGUUGAUUUUGUAAGCGAUAGUCAAUUAAUAUUUAUAGGUCCCCUAAAUUAUACUGUUACAGUGUAAAGGGAAGCGACCUGGGAUAUGCCAAAACCGUACUAACAAACACGACUUCAUACCGUUUAUCCUUCGCCAUAACCAGAUCGCCAUCGCGUUCCAGAGCCUUACUAAUCUGAAGGUGUUUCUCAGUUAGGCAGAUACCUGUCGUCUCACCUGAUCAUUAUCUACGUAGGAGACAUUACACUUUCAAUUGUAAAUAACCUCUGCAUUCUUUCGCCAGACAAUACUGUCUGAGCUUGCUAGUGCGGAACAUGGUACCGGCGCCCGGCCGCGAAAAAAGGGCGGUACACACCGAGAGGUUAACAAUUACAAACAGUUGGUCACCAGUCUUUUCAUCAAGGGUACACACUAGACGACCGCAAGACCCUUAACUGUACAGAAGGCCGAAAAGAGCGCGAGAAUCGUCAUUCAAGUGCGUUUGAUCGCUUCUUUUCUGAUUAAACAACUGACGGUUAUCUCAUUGUCAAACAGCUGAAAUCUCUCAAAGGCUAAAACUUUGGCUAAAACACCCUGACAAAACGAGACAGCACAUUUUAGAUUCACUCCUACGCUGACUGAGUUAAACAUAUACGCAUCGGCAUUUGUAAAACCUUGUUGAAGUUUAACUAAAAAUGUUCACAAUUGGUAAAGGUUUGUUGGUAUUGGGCAUAUAGAGAACGACGCGUGUUACAGAACGUCGUAUAAGUCAGUCUGUGGUGCGCAUCAUUCUUGUGUGGUCGAAGCGCAUGUAACGUGACACUUGUCGUAUAAACAAACUUGCUCCCGAGUCAAAGAUCCUGUUUCAAAGGGGAAGGGUUUCGUUUCCAUCGUUUUGGAGCCCAGUUUCGUGUCACACAUGAAAGUAAACACACCGAAAAGAUCGAACACAGAACUCAAUUCAUCUGGAACUAUUCCAAUGGUUGUAACUGACAGCUCCAGAUCUGUUUGUUUACAUUCCGACAUAGCUGGCUGGUUAUGUAUUGCGCGGUCCAAUUUAUUUUCCCGCGAAGUUGUUGGUCCAAAACUACGCUGACACAACGUUUUAAAAAGUCAUUUUUGCGGUUCCUUUAUAAAAACUCCGCUAAUGUAUGCCUUACAUUAAAUGAAUAGAACGACUAUAUGCAUUUAUCUGGGUUGAAGUUCAGAUGUAAUUCAUCGAUUUGUCAAAAAUUAGAUCACAGUAUAGUCUAUUUAUAAAUGGCUUCGAAAGUUUGUGAAACAAAAAUGACAAAUUUAAAACGUAUUGGUUACCUAG